rnacentral:rRNA from 1 species
AUUGAACGCUGGCGGCAGGCUUAACACAUGCAAGUCGAGCGGGGUGAUGGUGCUUGCACUAUCACUUAGCGGCGGACGGGUGAGUAAUGCUUAGGAAUCUGCCUAUUAGUGGGGGACAACAUCUCGCAAGGGAUGCUAAUACCGCACACGUCCUACGGGAGAAAGCAGGGGAUCACUUGUGACCUUGCGCUAAUAGAUGAGCCUAAGUCGGAUUAACUAGUUGGUGGGGUAAAGGCCUACCAAGGCGACGAUCUGUAGCGGGUCUGAGAGGAUGAUCCGCCACACUGGGACUGAUACACGGCCCAGACGCCUACGGGAGGCAGCAGUGGGGAAUAUUGGACAAUGGGGGGAACCCUGAUCCAGCCAUGCCGCGUGUGUGAAGAAGGCCUUAUGGUUGUAAAGCACUUUAAGCGAGGAGGAGGCUCUUUUGGUUAAUACCCAAGAUGAGUGGACGUUACUCGCAGAAUAAGCACCGGCUAACUCUGUGCCAGCCGCCGCGGUAA